rnacentral:rRNA from 1 species
UGGGGAAUAUUGGACAAUGGGGGGAACCCUGAUCCAGCCAUGCCGCGUGUGUGAAGAAGGCCUUAUGGUUGUAAAGCACUUUAAGCGAGGAGGAGGGUACUGGUAUUAAUACUACCAGGUACUGGACGUUACUCGCAGAAUAAGCACCGGCUAACUCUGUGCCAGCAGCCGCGGUAAUACAGAGGGUGCGAGCGUUAAUCGGAUUUACUGGGCGUAAAGCGUGCGUAGGCGGCUAAUUGAGUCGGAUGUGAAAUCCCCGAGCUUAACAUGGGAAUUGCAUUCGAUACUGGUUAGCUAGAGUGUGGGAGAGGAUGGUAGAAUUCCAGGUGUAGCGGUGAAAUGCGUAGAGAUCUGGAGGAAUACCGAUGGCGAAGGCAGCCAUCUGGCCUAACACUGACGCUGAGGUACGAAAGCAUGGGGAGCAAACAGG